AACGGCGAGUGAAGCGGUAACAGCUCAAAUUUGAAAUCUGGCUCCUGCGGAGUCCGAGUUGUAAUUUGUAGAAGAUGCUUUGGGAGGUAGGCUCGGCCUAAGUUCCUUGGAACAGGACAUCAGAGAGGGUGAGAAUCCCGUAUGUGGCCGUGGCCUACGCCCGUGUAAAGCUCUUUCGACGAGUCGAGUUGUUUGGGAAUGCAGCUCAAAAUGGGUGGUAAAUUUCAUCUAAAGCUAAAUAUUGGCCAGAGACCGAUAGCGCACAAGUAGAGUGAUCGAAAGAUGAAAAGCACUUUGGAAAGAGAGUUAAACAGUACGUGAAAUUGUUGAAAGGGAAGCGCUUGCACCCAGACUUGGGCGUCGUCGAUCAUCCGAGGUUCUCCUCGGUGCACUCGGCGAGGCACAGGCCAGCAUCGGUUUGGAUGGUUGGAGAAAGGCUCUAGGAACGUAGCUCUCUUCGGGGAGUGUUAUAGCCUAGGGCGUAAUGCAGCCCAUCUGGACCGAGGACCGCGCCUUCGGGCUAGGAUGCUGGCGUAAUGGUUGCAAGCGACCCGUCUUGAAACACGGACCAAGGAGUCUAACAUCUAUGCGAGUGUUUGGGCGUUAAACCCAUACGCGGAAUGAAAGUGAACGUAGGUGAGAACCCGACUGGGUGCAUCAUCGACCGAUCCUGAUGUCUUCGGAUGGAUUUGAGUAC
rnacentral:rRNA from 1 species